rnacentral:lncRNA from 1 species
UAUUAUUUAGUAUUAUGCAGACCUUUUAAUUUUUAUAAAUGUAAUUAGAAAAUUUAAAUGGAGGGGAAAAAAUAACAAAAAAAAAAUACAAGAGAGUCAUUAAAAAGAUCACGCAAGGACAAAAUGGUCAUGAAAGUUCGGUUUGUUUGGUGAGCCGCUGAAAAGAAUAAUAUUACAUAACACGUAUAUCAUCAAUUCCCGUAAACAUUUGGCGAUUAUCAGACGAUUCCCUUUUUCCUGAUUUAUUAAACAAAGUUGACUAGCGUACGGACGGGACCAUAGGUUUUACGAUACCACACACCCGAAAGCAGCAAAAGAAAGAAUAUAAAAGAGCCCUUCCUUUUAACCUUUAAGCUGCAGAGAUCAGAUCGGCGGUAUCGUGUCAGAUCCUGUCCACGUCGACACAUAUCCCUAGAUGAUGAAACAAUCAGACGGUCAGAAAUCAUCGCGGACGCUUGAUAUGAUGGACAGGACCUCUUGAGAUACUUGCUUUUGUGGCACGGGAGAGAGAGCCGGACAACGAUAUCAUAGGAUCUGCAUGCUUUAACUUGCACGAGCCCUGCAAUUAUGGAUCCGAUCCUGCAAAUAAUCUCUAUAUGUAUUAAAAAAAAUACAGACAUAAAAAUAAAUUUCCAAAGCCAUACCCAUACGUCCAUCAUUUUCAUGACCAGAAAGAAAG